GACAGGGGGCCCGAGCGUUAAUCGGAAUCACUGGGCUUAAAGGGUGCGUAGGCGGAUCAGCAAGUGUUUCGUGAAAACCCCCGGCUCAACCGGGGAAUUGCGGGGCAAACUGCUGAUCUUGAGGGAAGUAUGGGCGGACAGAACUAUCGGUGGAGCGGUGAAAUGCGUAGAUAUCGAUAGGAAUGCCGAUGGCGAAGGCGGUCCGCUGGGCUUCUCCUGACGCUCAGGCACGAAAGCGUGGGGAG
rnacentral:rRNA from 1 species